rnacentral:rRNA from 1 species
AUUGAACGCUGGCGGCAGGCCUAACACAUGCAAGUCGAGCGAGCGGCGGACGGGUGAGUAAUGUCUGGGAAACUGCCUGAUUGAGGGGGAUAACUACUGGAAACGGUAGCUAAUACCGCAUACCAUCAGAUGUGCCCAGAUGGGAAUAGCUAGUAGGUGGGGGAACGGCUCACCUAGGCGACGAUCCCUAGCGGGUGUGAGAGGAUGACCAGCCACAUUGAAACUGAGACACGGUCCAGACUCCUACGGGAGGCAGUAGUGGGGAAUUUUGGACAAGGGGCGCAAGCCUGAUCCAGCCAUGCCGCGUGUCUGAAGCAGGCCUUCGGGUUGUAAAGGACUUUUGUCAGGGAAGCGGUACCUGAAGAAUAAGCACCGACUAACUACGUGCCAGCAGCCGCGGUAAUAC